GACGAACGCUGGCGGCGUGCUUAACACAUGCAAGUCGAACGGAAAGGCCCUUCGGGGUACUCGAGUGGCGAACGGGUGAGUAACACGUGGGUGAUCUGCCCUGCACUUUGGGAUAAGCCUGGGAAACUGGGUCUAAUACCGAAUAGGACCACGCGCUUCAUGGUGUGUGGUGGAAAGCUUUUGCGGUGUGGGAUGGGCCCGCGGCCUAUCAGCUUGUUGGUGGGGUAAUGGCCUACUAAGGCGACGACGGGUAGCCGGCCUGAGAGGGUGACCGGCCACACUGGGACUGAGAUACGGCCCAGACUCCUACGGGAGGCAGCAGUGGGGAAUAUUGCACAAUGGGCGCAAGCCUGAUGCAGCGACGCCGCGUGAGGGAUGACGGCCUUCGGGUUGUAAACCUCUUUCAAUAGGGACGAAGCGCAAGUGACGGUACCUAUAGAAGAAGCACCGGCCAACUACGUG
rnacentral:rRNA from 1 species